UUCAAGUGCAGUCAUGAUUUUUCGUACCCAAUUUUGAUCUUUUGUCUUAUUUAAAAUUUUUAAAAACAAUAAAAAUACUAAUUAUAAAAAUAAAAAUAAAAUGGACGAUCAAAAGUUGGGUACGGAAACUCGUGGGUGUACUUAAU
rfam:Oryza meridionalis cultivar OR44 (W2112) chromosome 2, whole genome shotgun sequence.